rnacentral:rRNA from 1 species
CCUACGGGUGGCAGCAGUGAGGAAUAUUGGUCAAUGGGCGAAGGGCUGAACCAGCCAAGUCGCGUGGGGGAUGAAGGUCCUAGGGAUUGUAAACCUCUUUGGUCAGGGAGCAAAGGGCGCCACGUAUGGCGCUUUGCGAGUACCUGAAGAAAAAGCAUGGGCUAACCCUGUGCCAGCAGCCGCGGUAAUACGGAGGAAGCGAGCGUUAUCCGGAUGUAUGGGGGUUAAAGGGUGCGCAGGCGGAAUGUAAAGUCAGCGGUAAAAUUUCUGGGCUCAACCCCGUCGUGCAGUUGAAACUGGCGUUCUUGAGUGUGCGAGAAGUAGGUGGAAUGCGUGGUGUAGCGGUGAAAUGCAUAGAGAUCACGAAGAAUUCCGAUUGCGAAGGCAGCAUGCCGGCGCUCAACUGACGCUGAUGCACGAAAGCGUGGGUAUCGAACAGGAUUAGAUACCCGAGUAGUC